rnacentral:rRNA from 1 species
GCCAGCAAUUAAAUCACCCUGAAACUGCCAGCCCACUGAAGCUCAGCAGGUGUGAGUCUGACCAGUACCUGGACGGAAGACCUCCUGGGAAAGCUAAGGUUGCUGCUA